rnacentral:lncRNA from 1 species
GCGUCCCCUGCCCCACACAGAUGUGCUCAGGGCUGUUGCAGGACAUGAGAUCAAUAUGUUCCUAAUCUGGGCAGUACCAGGCAUGCUGCAGACACUCAGCCUGUCCCUUUCUCCUGCCAGGCAGUGUGACCAGCUCCCCGGCAAGGCCAUCACCCCCAGCUCCCCAUGCCCGGCUCC